UAUGAGGUUCUAUAAUGAGCAGUUAGUUGAAUUCUGAUAAGUGAACCAUCAUUAAAUUUAAAAAAUGUUUGUUCCAUUUGUAGCACAAGCUCAGUAAUUACUUAUAAUCCAUACAUCUAGUUACAUCAAUUAUUCAUUGUAAGUCUACAGUAAUAGUUUACACAUGGCUUAACAACAAAAAACAUACUCUGAAAAUUAACAAAGUCAUUGUUUUACCUGGUGUUUACUUCUUUGGGUGCAGUGAUUUUUUAACUUGUGGUUAAUACGAAUUUUAUUUGUGGCUAAGUAUGUCAUUUCUAUGUUAAACAUACAAGAAACAACAUUAGAAAAAGAAAAUUGUACAUCUCAGUAGGUUAUAUUGUCCUUUCUGAGGACCCUCAUAAUAACUUUUUCUCUUAUGACAGCAAUUAAAAAUCAGUGAAUGUCAGAAGCCAGUCUACGUAGUAAAACCUGCUAAAUCCAUGCUGGUCCAAACCAAUUCCUUCUUUCUCUGCACUCUUCCUUAAAAUUAUAGCUAUUAUGACAAAGCUCCCAGUAAAAUAUUCUGUUGCACCUUUCCUUAAAAUUACAGAUACUACAACAAAGCUGCCAGUGAAAUUUUUGGUUACAAGAUUCUUUCCUUCCACCCUACUUUGGAUUAGAAAUUCACUGAGGAAAGAGAGCUAUUUUAGCUCUCUAUCCUAUUCCCCAUAACAUCAUACAGGAUACAGAUAAUUGGUAAGUUUGUAACAGCCCUUCAUCUCAGGGCAAAUUUGAUAAAAAAAAAAAAAAGUAUAUCAACACAAAAUCUGUUAUAAUGUCAGAGAUUGAAAAGAUAAAGUGGAAAAGUGGAAAAAUUAUCACUUAAUACACAGAAUGAUUUGCCUUUAACAAGCUUGUUAUUGUUCACAGAGGAGUAGUGGUUUGCCUUUUUCUUAUCACUAAGUUAUAAAUGUAACUGCAUUUUGCCAGAAUUCACAAUGGCAAGUUUCGGGGAUCCUAUCUAUUCUGAAUUUUUCAAUUCUGUGUCAAAUAUUAAUUCUUUUCUCUGAUAUUUCAAGGGAGAAAUCUAUUGAAAAAUCCUUCCCUAUAUUUUCCAGGCCCACUGGAUUAUGUAUUUGAACCUGACAACAAUCACUUAAUUAUUUUUAUUUCUCUACUGGAUGGGAACUACAAGAAAGCAGAGACAUUUUCCAUUUCAUCUCUACUGAAUCCACUGGGACCUGGAACAGAGUAAGAACUUAAUACACUCUUUUUCAAAUAUUGAAUCAAAGUAGAAAAGCAAGUUAUCAUUUGACUAAGAGUGUGGGUCCUGAAGUCAGACAUUCUGGAAUGGAUCUAACCACUGCAAAUUUGGUCAUGUUACCAGUUAUCAAUCUCGCUUUGCCUCAGACUCUUUAUCAAUAAACUGUAGAUGAUAACAGUAUAAUCUUCAUGGGGUUGUUAUGAGGACUGAAUAAAUAAUUCCAACUAAAGUACUUAUGUGCUUUGCACAUAUUAUGCACUCAAUAAAUGUGAUUAUUAUUAUUGUUGUUGUUACAUUAAAUAUAAGAAAUUUGAAAUUCAGAGACUUUUUAUAGCCAAGAUUACAGAUUUUGUAACAGAAGAAAAUUCUAAUUUGAGACCUGUGCUUUUUCUAUGAAGUUUUUCUGACUAGUUGGGGACAGUACAAUGAUAUUUUAUAGACAAUAUAGUUUCUAGAAGUUGAGUAAUUGCUUAGCACAAAGAGAAAAGCAAUUCUUUUCAUAGGAAGAACAGAUACAUUAAUAGUAAUUUUAUACAACUCAAGUUUUAAGACUCAACCUUGAGAGGAUUUCAGGGAAUGAGCACUGCCUUAAAAGCAUGCAUUAGGUAGUUAUGCCUGCUAGGCUAUAGGAUAUAGGAAAGUAACACAUGACUUGGGAUUGGUAGCCCUGGUCUGCAGAGGAGACCACCACUGAAUUCAGUGAUGCUGGUGCUAUGUGUCCUUUGGACUCUUCAUGGAAGAAAGUCCCCUGGUAAGUUUCCUGACCUCAUCUCAUAUAUGUAUGCCAGCAUUCACAUCUAAGCCUUUGUACUAACUCCUUUACCAUGUGCCAUGCACGCAUUCUCUCUUGGUUCACUUAGGUUCUUACUUGCUCUAGACUUCUAAAAGCUACCCUAGCAGCAAGUUUGUCCCACAGCUGUGUUCUUGCCAGAGUGUUAAAUCCAUGUCCUGAGGAAGUGCUCAUGACAAUGAAUUUCUUUUCAAGUUAAAAGAUUUUUUUAGGGAGUUCCCAUCAUGGCUCAGCAGAAACGAAUCCAACUAGCAUCCAUGAGAAUGUUAGGUUUGAUCCCUGGCCUCGCUCAGUGUCUUAAGGACCUGGUGUUGCUGUGGCUAUGGUGUAGGAUAGCAGCUAUAGCUCUAACUUGACCCCUAGCUUGAGUACUUCCAUAUGCCUUAGGUGCACGCACCCCUCCCCCAAAAAAGAUUUUUUUAAACAUUCUUGAUUUAGAUUUCCACUGAAUCACUCUAUGCUUCUUCACACCACAUUCUGCCAUUCUCUUGCAGAAGACAGCUAAACACCAGUCCUCAUCAUCACUGAGGAAUGAGUUUGACACUAAUGUACUUUUAAGAAUCUGUUUUGUAAAAAGCUAUCACAUGAUGGAUAUAUUUUCCAGCCCCCAACUAAGGUAUCAAUGUCUCUAUGUCCUUAGUUAUUGUGAGAAUAAUGAAAGUUGAGUUUGCCUCAUCACCGAAGUGGUACUUGAUGAGAACAGAGGUGACCAAUUAUUUUUUAGUUCCUCUUCUCAUUGCCUCUACCACCCCCCUAGUUGAUUCUGCUUAAAGUUUAUCUCAUUGUUUUGUUGAUUUUAUUUUCUUUGUAAAUGACUUAUUUCUGGGUGAGACAUCACCCUAUCUAUAGCUUAUUGCAAUAUUCUUCAUUUCCUAUAUUAUACUCCAUCAGAAAGAAAGAGAUCCAUCUUGCACAUGAAAUGAGAUCAUCCAAUGCCAGAUCUGCUGCAAUAUCCAUCACCCUACCAUAAGCUUAAUCAUCCAAACAGUUUAUGUUCUAUGGGUGUCCACUGUAUAUGAACUCACACCUGCAUUUGCAUAUACAAAUAGCUAAUAUCUCAGUACAUAUAUGUACAUAAGUGCAAAGGGUUAAUUGGAUAAAAUUCACUAAAUGUUAGUUAUGGUUGCUAUGAAGAGUAAAUUGGGUAGUGUUUUUUCCUUAAUAUAACUUUCAAUGUUGCAUAUGUAUUAUUUCAAUUAAUAAUUUUACUAUACAAUUUAUCAUCCAAAUCAAGACUUUUAUCAAGGGUAAAAGAGAGCACUAUUAAUACAUAUGCCAAGGAAGUAGCAUAAAGACAAACAAGACGUGUCUUCACCUGUCUAAUCCUCAUAUUUUAUAGAUAGAAACACUGGUAAAGGAUAUCAACUAGCCCCAGGAUACACUACUCAUAAUUGGCAAUGUCAGGUUUCAAAUCCAGCAUCUGUAUUUUCAAUUACUACCUCUUAGACUAUAUCUCAUCUGCCUGUUCUGGUCCCUGUGGCCAGAUGGUCUCUAUGCUCCUUCUUUCUCAACUUCCUAUGAGCUCCUCUUGUGACACUUAUCUCACUUAAUUUUAGGUUAUGGAUGUCUGUGCACCUCUCUUAUCUCUAUUCCUAAAUUGUGUACAAGCCACAUAUUUCAAAUACAACAUUGUUCCUUUCAUUGUGUCUUAGUUAUCUACAGCUGAGUAACAAAUUACCCCAAAACUUAGGGACUUGAAGAAACAAAUGUUACCAAAAUGUUUCCUUUAAGAAAGUUAUUCCAAGUUUGCAGCUGACAAGUCUUCUCUGCCUGCCCUCUGGGGUUGAGUGAUCUCCUUUCAUUUUGUUCUGUUUCUCUCUCUUUCGGUCCAAGUUUAUAGUGUUUCUGCUGAUGUAAUUCUCCUGAGAAUCUCACUUAGGUUUAUUCCAUCAGUCAAAACCCAUACCCACAAAUCCCUGAAGGGCAUUAAUGAGUUUUUAAAUUUAAUAAUUAUAUGACAUUAUUCCAUUUUCAGUGAUUAUAAAUAUUUCCCUCUGUAAUUUUUUUAAUCAGUUUUAUCAUUCAGUUGGUUGUCUCAUUCAUGAGUUAAAUACAUUUUUGACUGAUGCUCCCUCAACGUACGUAAGAAUCAAGGUUUAAGUCUUGAAAAUUAUGCUUUCAGAAUAGAUGAGUUCUCAGAAAACAUAAAAUUUCUACUACCAACAUAACUUUGUUGGGGAUGUUGAUGAUGAGAUGUCAUCGUUUCUUUUAAAUCCUGAAUUUAUGUCUUAAUAAAGUAUAAAAAUGACACGCAGGAAUGAAAGGGAGUACAGCACAAUACCCAUUGCCUCUGGGAAAAAUAAUUUGACUUAAACAGAUAGUUGGCUAAGCAGGUUUUCUCUUUCUCCUCACAAAAUCUUGUGAAAUUCCUCAGUUGAAAAGAUAGAUUGUGCUGUGAGAACAGUAGAACUGGCUUCUGGUGAAAGCUUUAAAUAUUUAAAUAUUCCAUCUAUUGGAGUGUAUAGUAGAGAAUCCAGCUUUCUAUGUGAGGCAUCAAAAAUAAAAAUCUUUCCUUUACUCUUAACAAUUUAAAGUACAUGCUAAGGAGAAAUAUUGUCAUCUUCUUUAGUCUAAGAGGCCAUGAAUUGAUAAGUAGAUGGAAUAGCUAAGUAAGUGGUCUUGAAAGACACCAUCAUAGAAGUGAGAAAUCAAAUUUCAUCAUUGCCAGACUGAAACCUCUCUCAUAGUUCAGGCAUGGGGAGCAUAGAACAUUGAUUUUGUACUUUUUAAAAGUGUUAUCUAGAAAAAGAACACUAUAGGCUCUUUAUUAUGGCAUUUUCUGCAUAUUGGAAUAAUUGGCACAAAA
rnacentral:lncRNA from 1 species